rnacentral:rRNA from 1 species
UACGGGGGGGUAAGCGUUGUUCGGAAUUACUGGGCGUAAAGGGCUCGUAGGCGCCAACUAAGUCGGGACGUGAAAUCCCUCAGCUUAACUGGGGAACUGCGUCCGAUACUGGAUGGCUUGGAUUUGGGAGAGGGAUGCGGAAUUCCGGGUGUAGUGGUGGAAUGCGUAGAUAUCGGGAGGAACACCUGUGGCGAAAGCGGCGCACUGGACCAUAACUGACGCUGAGGCGCGAAAGCUAGGGAGCAAACAGG